GCUUGGGAAUAUGCCUUGAGGUGGGGACGAACAGUUGGAAACGACUGCUAAUACCGCAUAAUGUCUACGGACCAAAGAGGGGGACCGUUCGGGCCUCUUGCCUUUAGAUUAGCCCAAGUGAGAUUAGCUAGUAGGUGGGGUAAUGGCUCACCUAGGCGACGAUCUCUAGCUGGUUUGAGAGGAUGAUCAGCCACACUGGGACUGAGACACGGCCCAGACUCCUACGGGAGGCAGCAGUGGGGAAUAUUGCACAAUGGGGGAAACCCUGAUGCAGCCAUGCCGCGUGUGUGAAGAAGGCCU
rnacentral:rRNA from 1 species